GACGAACGCUGGCGGCGUGCUUAACACAUGCAAGUCGAACGGAAAGGCCCUGCUUUUGUGGGGUGCUCGAGUGGCGAACGGGUGAGUAACACGUGAGUAACCUGCCCUUGACUUUGGGAUAACUUCAGGAAACUGGGGCUAAUACCGGAUAGGAGCUCCUGCUGCAUGGUGGGGGUUGGAAAGUUUCGGCGGUUGGGGAUGGACUCGCGGCUUAUCAGCUUGUUGGUGGGGUAGUGGCUUACCAAGGCUUUGACGGGUAGCCGGCCUGAGAGGGUGACCGGCCACAUUGGGACUGCGAUACGGCCCAGUCUCCUACGGGAGGCAGCGGUGGGGAGUAUUGCACAAUGGGCGGAAGCCUGAUGCAGCAACGCCGCGUGCGGGAUGACGGCCUUCGGGUUGUAAACCGCUUUCGCCUGUGACGAAGCGUGAGUGACGGUAAUGGGUAAAGAAGCACCGGCUAACUACGUG
rnacentral:rRNA from 1 species